rnacentral:misc_RNA from 1 species
AGACCUAUAACACAACAUCCAAGAUGAUAGAACAAAACAACAGACAACUCCCCCCCUAAGAUUUUUUUUUUUUUUUU